GAUGAACGCUGGCGGCGUGCCUAAUACAUGCAAGUCGAGCGAACAGACCAGGAGCUUGCUCCUCUGACGUCAGCGGCGGACGGGUGCGUAACACGUGGAUAACCUACCUAUAAGACUGGGAUACCUUUGGGAAACCGUAGCUAAUACCGGAUAAUAUAUUGAACCGCAUGGUUCAAUAGUUAAAGACGGUUUUGCUGUCACUUAUAGAUGGAUCCGCGCCGCAUUAGCUAGUUGGUAAGGUAACGGCUUACCAAGGCUAGGAUGCGUAGCCGACCCGAGAGCGUCGUCGGCCACACUGGCACUGAGACACGUUCCCGACACCUACGCGGGGCCGCGGUCCGGAAUCUUCCGCAAUGGGCGAAUGCCGGACGUUGCACCGUCGCGUGAAGCAUGAAGGUGUUCGGACCGGAAAACUCUGUAAUUCGGAAGGUACAAAUGUGUAAGUAACUAUGAGCAUCUUGACGGUACCGGGACAGAAAGCCCCGGCUAACUACGUG
rnacentral:rRNA from 1 species